GUCUUAAGUAGCUUAAAGUUUAAAGCUUAAUAUUGAAGUUAUUAUUAUGGGUUAUAUACCCCUUAGACA
rnacentral:tRNA from 1 species